CUCGCUCUCAGUGGGACUGGUUUCGGGCCUCAGUUUGCCUGUUUAUGUACUUGAUGUCAAGAAUGUGUGUGCAAUCGAACGAAAGACCUUUACAGUCUCACUGGUGACCGGCGGGAUGGGAGAAGACUGGAUUUUGCAGCCAGAUAUAUUCGGUUAGAAGUUCUUGGUUUGCCACUUUUUUCGCCUAUGGGACCUCGGUCAAGCCCCUUACACUUGGUAAGCCUCAGUCUCUCGUCUAUAAAAUGGGGAGGAUACUCCCAGGAUCGCGGGGAGAAUUCAGGACGAUAUUUGUCAAGGGCCUGCCACGCGCGGGGUGACCCACGGAAGAGGGUGCAGGUGGGUGGGGACUUUCUCGUGCUGGGUUUCUCGGCUCGGCUCAUCCUGGGGGGCCCGGAGUACCGCCCCCGCGCGACGGCUGAGCGUGGCGGACUCUCGGCCUCUCCCGGCGCGGCUGAGGCGGUCGUACCGGUUCCGAACCCUUCCCCCACCGGCCGGCUUCUGGCGGCAACCUGCAGGCAGAAGGCCAGGCUUUAUUUACACAAAAGCAGCGGGUGGAAGCUGGCCUUGUAAGGACGAAAGAAACGUUGGCGGGCCGGGAACGUCGCCGGGGGAGGCAGUAAAAGCGGUUCUGAUAGGAAUCUGUGAAUAAAUAAAUAACGUGAAUCAAAGAAUGCAUUGAAAUGCCCUCCUAGGAUCACAGAAACCCGACCCUAAGGCAGCCUUCGGAAUCCUCCCACACGUCCCACCCUAUCUGAUAACUUGUCAGAGGCCCAAAUUGAUUCUGGAGUUAUUAUCAAACCAGGACGCCUGCCACCCAGAUCCUACGGUCCUAGGGUGGCCUCUGGGGCGCACCUUCCGGGCUGGGAGUGAGACCUGGGUCUGAAACAAAGGGAAAGGGAACCCCGUUUUAUGAGCACCUACUCAUGUGCUAGGCAUUGUUCCUAUGCGGUUUCACGACUCCUCACACCACGCUUUGAGCAGGAUUCCGUACUCUGGUAGGCAGGGGAAGUUGCCUGCUCCAGAACACAAAAGCCGAUAGAUGGGACUGAAUUCCAAUACAGUUCUGUCCCUGGUUCCUUCCACCCAACCUUGCUGCCCCGGGCAGGGGGCAAGGAUAAAGCGCAAAAGGCGCGUUUGCAACUACAUUGGUGCGAUGACCUAGCUGUUUCUGGGCGCCGCCCCUUCCCUCCUUUUUCUUUACCUACCUACAGGAUGUCCAAAGCCUCUUGUAGUUCUACCUAUCAGCUGAUCGCUGCUGCCGCGCCCGCUCGCCUAAUUUAGCAGCCGGAAGUCGCAAGUCCGGCGACAGCUGACCUAGAGCCCUUAGUCUUAUCAUUGUCAAAGCCAGUGUUGGCCCAGAGGACACACAGGUGCGCCCAGGGCACGUAUUUCUCCAGCCUCCGCCCUAGUCACGGGGCUGCAUCCGGUCCAGGAGCCAAGGAAACUGGUCCAGCUGCUCCUUUCCCGGCAGGGCCCCGCCCACGCCCACCCCAGCGGAGGCCCAGAACAGGUUUCUUCACUUUCCCUGGCCCAGCUCCCGCCUCGGGCGACAAAGGGAAGCCGGUUGCUCAAUGUGCCUGAGGAUCGUUCUGGUUCGCAGGCAACUCGUGGACGAGCCAUCAGUCGGGUGGCCCCAACUCAAGCCACCAGGCACUGUACACCAGCUUGUGCACCGAGGUCUACCCAGCAAACCCUUAGGGUUCCUCAGGUGACACCUGGGCCCCUUGCUCUGUGCAGGGCCAGCCAGCAUCAGGUCCCAAGGGGAAG
ensembl:lncRNA